AGAAACAUGCAUACACCUUGUUAAGGAGGCGUUGGAGGUUGACAUGGAUGGGUUUAAUUAGGGGUACAGUUAAUUUGGGUAAGUAUUGGGGAGAUGUGACUCGGCAGGGCAUGACACAAUUUUAGCUUGAUGAGGACAUGGACCUUACGUAGGAGGAUACAUAGGUAUCUAGUUAGGGUAAAUAGUUAAGAUAGUUGACAAUUGUCUUUCCUCCUUACAGGGAGGGGCUUUGUGGUUAGAUAGUACUAUAUUUAUUUGCAGAAUUUCUUGUUCUUUAA
rnacentral:misc_RNA from 1 species